rnacentral:rRNA from 1 species
AUUGAACGCUGGCGGCAUGCCUUACACAUGCAAGUCGAACGGUAGAGAGGUGCUUGCAUCUCUUGAGAGCGGCGGACGGGUGAGUAAUGCCUAGGAAUCUGCCUAGUGGUGGGGGAUAACGUUCGGAAACGGACGCUAAUACCGCAUACGUCCUACGGGAGAAAGCGGGGGAUCUUCGGACCUCGCGCCAUUAGAUGAGCCUAGGUCGGAUUAGCUAGUUGGUGAGGUAAUGGCUCACCAAGGCGACGAUCCGUAACUGGUCUGAGAGGACGACCAGCCACACUGGGACUGAGACACGGCCCAGACUCCUACGGGAGGCAGCAGUGGGGAAUAUUGGACAAUGGGCGAAAGCCUGAUCCAGCCAUGCCGCGUGUGUGAAGAAGGUCUUCGGAUUGUAAAGCACUUUAAGUUGGGAGGAAGGGUAGUAACCUAAUACGUUGCUACUUUGACGUUACCGACAGAAUAAGCACCGGCUAACUUCGUGCCAGCAGCCGACGG